GAGAGUUUGAUCCUGGCUCAGAAUGAACGCUGGCGGCAGGCCUAACACAUGCAAGUCGGACGGAGUUAUAUUGUAGCUUGCUAUGGUAUAACUUAGUGGCAGACGGGUGAGUAAUGUAUAGGAAUCUACCUAGUAGUACGGAAUAAUUGUUGGAAACGGCAACUAAUACCGUAUACGCCCUACGGGGGAAAAAUUUAUUGCUAUUAGACGAGCCUAUAUUAGAUUAGCUAGUUGGUGGAGUAAUAGCCUACCAAGGCAAUGAUCUAUAGCUGAUCUGAGAGGAUGAUCAGCCACACUGGAACUGAGAUACGGUCCAGACUCCUACGGGAGGCAGCAGUGGGGAAUAUUGGACAAUGGGCGAAAGCCUGAUCCAGCCAUGCCGCAUGAGUGAAGAAGGCCUUUGGGUUGUAAAGCUCUUUUAGUGAGGAAGAUAAUGACGGUACUCACAGAAGAAGUCCUGGCUAACUCCGUGCCAGC
rnacentral:rRNA from 1 species